GACGAACGCUGGCGGCGUGCCUAACACAUGCAAGUCGAACGGAAAGGCCCUGCUUUUGUGGGGUGCUCGAGUGGCGAACGGGUGAGUAACACGUGAGUAACCUGCCCUUGACUGUGGGAUAUCUUCAGGAAACUGGGGCUAAUACCGGAUAGGAGCUCCUGCUGCAUGGUGGGGGUUGGAAAGUUUCGGCGGUUGGGGAUGGACUCGCGGCUUAUCGGCUUGUUGGUGGGGUAGUGGCUUACCAUGGCUUUGCCGGGUAGCCGGCCUGAGAGGGCGGCCGGCCCCACUGCGACUGAGGUACGGCCCAGACUCCUACGGGAGGCAAGGGUGGGGAGUAUUGUACAGUGGGCGGAAGCCUGAUGCGGCAACGCCGCGAGCGGGAUGACGGCCUUCGGGUUGGAAACCGCAGUCGCCUGUGACGAAGCGUGAGUGACGGUAAUGGGUAAAUAAGCACCGGCUAACUACGUG
rnacentral:rRNA from 1 species